UACGUAGGUGGCAAGCGUUAUCCGGAUUUAUUGGGCGUAAAGGGAACGCAGGCGGUCUUUUAAGUCUGAUGUGAAAGCCUUCGGCUUAACCGGAGUAGUGCAUUGGACACUGGGAGACUUGAGUGCAGAAGAGGAGAGUGGAACUCCAUGUGUAGCGGUGAAAUGCGUAGAUAUAUGGAGGAACACCAGUGGCGAAAGCGGCUCUCUGGUCUGUAACUGACGCUGAGGUUCGAAAGCGUGGGUAGCAAACAGG
rnacentral:rRNA from 1 species